UACCAGCACCCCGAGUGGUCGGGACGAUUAUUGGGCCUAAAGCAUCCGUAGCCGGUUUUACAAGUCCCCCGUUAAAUCCAGCUGCUUAACAGAUGGGCUGCGGAGGAUACUAUAAGACUAGGAGGCAGGAGAGGCAAGCGGUACUCAGUGGGUAGGGGUAAAAUCCGUUGAUCCAUUGAAGACCACCAGUGGCGAAGGCGGCUUGCCAGAAUGCGCUCGACGGUGAGGGAUGAAAGCUGGGGGAGCAAACCGG
rnacentral:rRNA from 1 species